AGAAUUCACCAAGUGUUGGA
rnacentral:snRNA from 1 species